rnacentral:lncRNA from 1 species
ACACUAUCGGGUUUGCAGGUGCAGAACCUUAAGGGGGGGAAAACACUGUCUCAACGGCUCAAGAGAGAGGUUAUAGAGCUGCAAAUAACAGGCCCUUAGCAUUUCUAAGGCUAAGACAUGAAAGUACCUAAGAAUCCUUCAGCAGAAGGGACUGGACGGUCUUGGAACUGUUUCCACAGGAGCAAAGCAGGGCGAAGCUGGAGCCGCUUUCCUCUYUCAGUCCUGCUGACGAUAGAUGGAGUUGAGCCAGUAGUGCCUGCCUGAAGCCACAGCACCCCAAAUAUCAUGGUUUCCUACGCCAAAUAGACGUCUCUGAAAUAGAAGGUGUGAUACCGUCAUGGUUUGAUUUUCAUCUGCUUGGAGAACUUUAUCUCUUCAAAUGAAUCAGSAAGAUUUCAGUUGCUUAUUUUUCCAACAGCUUAAAAUUUUCAAACUUUCUGAUUUUUUUUCACAGAAAACCUCUAUAAAUAUUCUAUUUAUAAAAAGGACUUUUCUCUGUUUUUAUGCAGUGACCACUGUUACAUCCCUAUAAGAAUGCAAGUUCUGUUAACCUUUUUAAAGUGAACUUUCAUAUAGAACUUGUAUAUAUUUCCAUGUGGGUAARAAACUUUUUUAUACAACCUACCUUCAACUUCAGUCCUCCAAAGUUUCUGCAGUCCAAAUCAGAUGAGAAAGCAACUUAUCCAAGUAAUACUGUUGUGAGCUGGAGAUGAAAUAUUGUAUUUUCCUGUGCAUAUAGUAUCCCRUGUGCCAGUAAAUUCGUGUCAAUUGAGCCUAGCCUUAGGGAGAUUACUUACAAUUUUGUCCUGYCAGAGUGACAAAAGGCAGCCUGGAGCUGGUGUUCACUUUAUUCACUUCCACAUAUUCUUCAUAUCCUCAGGGCUAUUGCUUUUGUUUACUGUCACAGAUCUACAUGAGCGUUUUUAUAUUAYUAACUUAGGCUAGGAGCAUUCCCUUAAUUUUUGCCUUGUUUAGUUCCAGACUGUAAAUAACACUAACUGCUCAUGAAACUGCAUCUUGCAGAACUCUACCCUGGGGACUACUCAGAACUGGAAAAUUUCAUUGCUUUGACAGUCUGUACA